rnacentral:rRNA from 1 species
GACGAACGCUGGCGGCGUGCUUAACACAUGCAAGUCGAACGGAAAGGCCUGCUUUCCCUUGUGGAUUGCGGGUACUCGAGUGGCGAACGGGUGAGUAACACGUGAGUGAUCUGCCCCCAACUUGGGUAUAAGCCUGGGAAACUGGGUCUAAUUCCCGAUAGGACUGCAGGGUGGUGCCUGUGGUGGAAAACGAUUUUCUAGUGGUUGGGGAUGAGCUCGCGGCCUAUCAGCUUGUUGGUGGGGUAAUGGCCUACCAAGGCGGCGACGGGUAGCCGGCCUUAGAGGGUGGACGGCCACAUUGGGACUGAGAUACGGCCCAGACUCCUACGGGAGGCAGCAGUGGGGAAGAUUGCACAAUGGGCGGAAGCCUGAUGCAGCGACGCCGCGUGGGGGAUGACGGCCUUCGGGUUGUAAACUCCUUUCGACCGCGAGGAAGCCACCUGGUUGGAAGGGUGGUGACGGUAGUGGUAGAAGAAGCACCGGCUAACUACGUG